AUUGAACGCUGGCGGCAUGCCUUACACAUGCAAGUCGAACGGUAACAGGUCUUCGGAUGCUGACGAGUGGCGAACGGGUGAGUAAUACAUCGGAACGUGCCUAGUAGUGGGGGAUAACUACUCGAAAGAGUGGCUAAUACCGCAUGAGAUCUACGGAUGAAAGCAGGGGAUCGCAAGACCUUGUGCUACUAGAGCGGCCGAUGGCAGAUUAGGUAGUUGGUGGGAUAAAAGCUUACCAAGCCGACGAUCUGUAGCUGGUCUGAGAGGACGAUCAGCCACACUGGGACUGAGACACGGCCCAGACUCCUACGGGAGGCAGCAGUGGGGAAUUUUGGAUAAUGGGCGCAAGCCUGAUCCAGCAAUGCCGCGUGCAGGAUGAAGGCCUUCGGGUUGUGAACUGCUUUUGUACGGAACGAAAAGCCCUGGGUUAAUACCCUGGGGUCAUGACGGUACCGUAAGAAUAAGCACCGGCUAACUACGUGCCAGCCGCCGCCGUAAGAC
rnacentral:rRNA from 1 species